rnacentral:rRNA from 1 species
UACGUAGGGUGCAAGCGUUGUCCGGAAUUAUUGGGCGUAAAGAGCUCGUAGGCGGUUUGUUGCGUCGGCUGUGAAAACCCGAGGCUCAACCUCGGGCCUGCAGUCGAUAUGGGCAAACUAGAGUACUGCAGGGGAGACUGGAAUUCCUGGUGUAGCGGUGAAAUGCGCAGAUAUCAGGAGGAACACCGGUGGCGAAGGCGGGUCUCUGGGCAGUAACUGACGCUGAGGAGCGAAAGCGUGGGGAGCGAACAGG